rnacentral:rRNA from 1 species
UACGUAGGGUGCGAGCGUUCAUCGGAGUUACUGGGCGUAAAGCGUGGGCAGGCGGUCCGCUAAGACAGGUGUGAAAUCCCGGGGCUCAAACUAGGAAUUGCGCUUGUGACUGGCGGGCUAGAGUACGGUAGAGGGGGGUGGAAUUCCUGGUGUAGCAGUGAAAUGCGUAGAGAUCAGGAGGAACACCGAUGGCGAAGGCAGCCCCCUGGUCCUGUACUGACGCUCAGGCACGAAAGCGUGGGGAGCAAACAGG